CUCGGAGGAGUCACCGGUGGACAAGGCAAACGGAAAAGACAGCGCUCAGCUCGACGAUGCCUUUCUAGACGCCUUAAAGAACUUGCGUAUCAGUAACCCGGUGGGAGUAAAUAGAUCGAACAUCAGCUGUUUUUGCUCAUGUCCUUUUCACAGAUUUUAAGCCAAAAAAAA